GACGUACCUCUGGUGUACCAGUUGUUCUGCCAAGGGCAUGGCUGGGUAGCUAUGUACGGAAUGGAUAAGCGCUGAAAGCAUCUAAGCGCGAAGCCAACUUCAAGAUAAGAUUUCCCACCGCAAGGGUAAGACCCCAGAAAGACUAUCUGGUUGAUAGGUCGAAGGUGUAAGUGCAGCAAUGUAUUUAGCUUAUCGAUACUAAUAGGUCGAGGACUUGACCAAU
rnacentral:rRNA from 1 species